CUUUCUCCUGGAAUAAAGGAACCCAUUUCCCUGGCGUUUCCUAACCACAGACCGGACUUGGCCUUAUGUCAGAUCGUUAGUGCCCUCUGCAGGCUCUGCAUAAGCGAAACAAACUUAACAAGGCUGGAUUUUGUUCUUCCAUAGAUGAAGUCGACUGUUACUAAUCCACAAAAUCGCAAUCGGACAAAAGGAGAUGGACACAAACACCAAGAAUACCGCUAAGCACAACGUAAGUGGAAAAACAGAACCUUAACAUGGAAAAUUCAGAAGGAUUGCAAGAUAUAUAUAUAUAUAUAUAUAUAUAUAUAAAUCAUUACAACCUCUUAGAAGUCUGAAAAAAACAUCUUAUCUGAAGGGAAGGGGCAUUUCAAAACACUGAGCCCAACCAAAAAGAUAACUACUACACUUCAGAAGUACCACGCGACUUUCACACAUCCAAAUCAAGUUACGGUAACUUUCUGAUGUGAAACACAAUGCGUGUCUCAGAGAAGUAUCUACCUCCCCAGACUUCCUACUUAACCCGUGGUAGAAGUACAUGUAUUUAGCACAUAACUGAAAUCUUUGAAAACAAAGCCAACAUUAAAAACUGAGGCCAUCCAGACAUCUUCAAGAUCUCUUUAGGAUUAUGUUUUGGAGAUUGUUAUACUUGAUUUUCUCAUCCAUUCUUAGAGUAAACUUGAAUUCAAGUACUAUUUAGCAGACCUUUGACCUGAUUCCACACAAACAGGUGGCAUCCAACCAGCCCAGCGUCACAGUCUGCAUCUUUUUUUUUACAAGCUCCUGCAGAAGAGGCCCCUGCCGCAUUUCCGCAAGACACAUGAUGACAAACACGACAAUUUAUCAUCCUGCUGAGCACCUUCAAAAACUCCAUGCCCUUUGAAAGUGGUCACCCAGAACUGAUCAUCUUCACUGUGAAAUAAAGAAUAGCUGAGGUCUAGUGCCCUGCUGAGCUGAAUGGGGAGCCUGUGAGGUCUGUUUAUCCUCAGUGCCUUUUUUUUUAUUAAAAAAAAAAAAAAAAUCGCAUGUCUAAGAAAAACACUUUUUUUGAUCCAAUGUGUUUUACUUAAUUCUGCACCACAUUGAAUACCAUUCGUCUUACUCUUGUAAGAAGUUUCAAAAAUUCUUGCAAGAAGUUUCAAAAAAUUAUCUUCAUAGAGAAGAACCUGUUUAAAAAUAAAGCCUUUCAACUAGUCCCUGCCACCUAAAAACCACGGCUAUUUCCGCUUCAUACACAGGACAUCACUGUUCAGUUGGCACCAAGACUGGUUUAAUCCAAGAGGGGUGUCACCAUUUUUGAGCUGUCAUACCUUACUGCUUCCAUGGCUGAAACAGAAUCUGCUGGUAUCUGUAACUGAAAUAGUAACUGAGCAGGGCUACAUUAUGUGCUGGCCUGGAAAAGCCUAAAUACUACAGAAAUCCGAAAAGGAGAAUACAAAAGAAUUUUAAGAGGACAGUGUAUUAAGCAGCU